rnacentral:pre_miRNA from 9 species
UCCCGAUAGCGUAAGAAUUAACUCAAAUUUGUAUGGAGUUGAAACGUUUGCCUACGUUUACCACUAGGGGCGCUGUUCCAAAAGCAUACAAAUUUCAGUUAGCCUUUACGCUAUAGA